GGAAUAUUGGACAAUGGGGGAAACCCUGAUCCAGCCAUGCCGCGUGUGUGAAGAAGGCCUUCGGGUUGUAAAGCACUUUAGGUCGGGAGGAAGGCUCGCUGGCUAAUACCCAGCGGGAUUGACGUUACCGACAGAAUAAGCACCGGCUAACUCCGUGCCAGCAGCCGCGGUAAUACGGAGGGUGCGAGCGUUAAUCGGAAUUACUGGGCGUAAAGCGCGCGUAGGCGGCUCGUUAAGUCGAUUGUGAAAUCCCCGGGCUCAACCUGGGAAUUGCAGUCGAUACUGGCGGGCUGGAGUGUGGGAGAGGGUAGUGGAAUUCCCGGUGUAGCGGUGAAAUGCGUAGAUAUCGGGAGGAACAUCAGUGGCGAAGGCGACUGCCUGGCCCAACACUGACGCUGAGGUGCGAAAGCGUGGGUAGCAAA
rnacentral:rRNA from 1 species